rnacentral:rRNA from 1 species
AUUGAACGCUGGCGGCAGGCCUAACACAUGCAAGUCGAACGAGUGGCGGACGGGUGAGUAAUGCCUGGGAAACUGCCUGAUGGAGGGGGAUAACUACUGGAAACGGUAGCUAAUACCGCAUACCAUCGGAUGUGCCCAGGUGGGAUUAGCUAGUUGGUGGGGUAACGGCUCACCAAGGCGACGAUCCCUAGCUGGUCUGAGAGGAUGACCAGCCAAACUGGGACUGGGACACGGUCCAGACUCCUACGGGAGGCAGCAGUGGGGAAUAUUGCACAAUGGGCGCAAGCCUGACGCAGCCAUGCCGCGUGUAUGAAGAAGGCCUUCGGGUUGUAAAGUACUUUCGGUGGGGAGGCGUUACCCGCAGAAGAAGCACCGGCUAACUCCGUGCCAGCAGCCGCGGUAAUUC